UACGGAGGGUGCAAGCGUUAUCCGGAUUCACUGGGUUUAAAGGGUGCGUAGGCGGAUUAGUAAGUCCGUGGUGAAAUCUCCGAGCUUAACUCGGAAACUGCCGUGGAUACUAUUAAUCUUGAAUACUGUGGAGGUUAGCGGAAUAUGUCAUGUAGCGGUGAAAUGCAUAGAGUAUGACAUAGAACACCAAUUGCGAAGGCAGCUGGCUACACGAGAGAUUGACGCUGAGGCACGAAAGCGUGGGGAUCAAACAGG
rnacentral:rRNA from 1 species